rnacentral:rRNA from 1 species
CCUACGGGGGGCAGCAGUGGGGAAUAUUGGACAAUGGGCGAAAGCCUGAUCCAGCCAUGCCGCGUGUGUGAAGAAGGCCUUCGGGUUGUAAAGCACUUUCAGUGGGGAAGAAAGCCUUGGGGCUAAUACCCUCGAGGAAGGACAUCACCCACAGAAGAAGCACCGGCUAACUCCGUGCCAGCAGCCGCGGUAAUACGGAGGGUGCGAGCGUUAAUCAGAAUUACUGGGCGUAAAGCGCGCGUAGGCGGUCUGAUAAGCCGGUUGUGAAAGCCCCGGGCUCAACCUGGGAACGGCAUCCGGAACUGUCAGGCUAGAGUGCAGGAGAGGAAGGUAGAAUUCCCGGUGUAGCGGUGAAAUGCGUAGAGAUCGGGAGGAAUACCAGUGGGGAAGGCGGCCUUCUGGACUGACACUGACGCUGAGGUGCGAAAGCGUGGGUAGCAAACAGGAUUAGAUACCCUGGUAGUC